AGUGAACGCUGGCGGUAGGCCUAACACAUGCAAGUCGAACGGCAGCACAGUAAGAGCUUGCUCUUACGGGUGGCGAGUGGCGGACGGGUGAGGAAUACAUCGGAAUCUACUUUUUCGUGGGGGAUAACGUAGGGACACUUACGCUAAUACCUCAUACGACCUACGGGUGAAAGCAGGGGAUCUUCGGACCUUGCGCGAUUGAAUUAGCCGAUGUCGGAUUAGCUAGUUGGCGGGGUAAAGGCCCACCAAGGCGACGAUGCGUAGCUGGUCUGAGAGGAUGAUCAGCCGCACUGGAACUGAGACACGGUCCAGACUCCUACGGGAGGCAGCAGUGGGGAAUAUUGGACAAUGGGCGCAAGCCUGAUCCAGCAAUACCGCGUGGGUGAAGAAGGCCUUCGGGUUGUAAAGCCCUUUUGUUGGGAAAGAAAAGCAGCAGGUGAAUACCCCGCUGUUCUGACGGUACCCAAAGAAUAAGCACCGGCUAACUUCGUG
rnacentral:rRNA from 1 species